UGUGAGAUAGAUAUAUUUUUCACUAAUAGAGAAGCUACCUUUCAGACUAUGUAAGUAAUGUCAAAUACAGAAGCCAACUAUCUAAAUGUAGUGAAUGUAUCAAAAUCUUUGCUUCUUCAGGAUAUUUUCAUUCUGCGAAGAGCUGCUCUCACUGACCAGAAAAUAAUGCCACAAACAACUUCAGCAACAUCCUUACUACGGCCCAUGAUCCCACUGGAAGUGAAAGCAUUGUUUCCUGUUGCUCAAGUAGAAAUAUCUUAAGGACGGUGGUUUCUGGAGACACUAAGAUGAUCUUCUUGCAGACUGACAGGCAUCUAGAUAUUUUCCCACCAUUCCAAUUCUUUCUUCACCUGAGAAGAGAGAGAAUCCAUUAUUUGUCCUAUUGCUUUUGAUAUAUGGUUUGAAGUCUCUAGCCAUUCUGCUAAAGAAGAUAAUUUUUAUGCACUUAAUAAAUGGAAGAAAAC
rnacentral:lncRNA from 1 species